rnacentral:rRNA from 1 species
UAGGGAAUCUUCCGCAAUGGACGCAAGUCUGACGGAGCAACGCCGCGUGAGUGAAGAAGGAUUUCGGUUCGUAAAACUCUGUUGUUAGAGAAGAACAGCGCAUAGAGUAACUGUUAUGCGUGUGACGGUAUCUAACCAGAAAGCCACGGCUAACUACGUGCCAGCAGCCGCGGUAAUACGUAGGUGGCAAGCGUUGUCCGGAUUUAUUGGGCGUAAAGCGAGCGCAGGCGGUCAAUUAAGUCUGAUGUGAAAGCCCCCGGCUCAACCGGGGAGGGUCAUUGGAAACUGGUUGACUUGAGUGCAGGAGAGGAGAGUGGAAUUCCAUGUGUAGCGGUGAAAUGCGUAGAUAUAUGGAGGAACACCGGUGGCGAAAGCGGCUCUCUGGUCUGUAACUGACGCUGAGGCUCGAAAGCGUGGGGAGCGAACAGG